ACAACGGUAAGCUUGUAAUAAUGUUUUAUAAUAAGAGCAACAUGGUGGAUUUCCGCGGGAAAUUUGAGCAUGCAGCAGUUCGUCUGUGCGUCAUUACGUCACGUCUGUAAACAGAAAGGAAGGAGGCUAAUCAGUUUUAUCAUGUGAGGACGCAGCUGGUAGCGGAUCAUUUAUAGCCUUUUCUCACAGCAGCUGAAAUAAUUAAGCUUAUCAUUUUGAUGGCGGAUUGUAAUCCAGAAAGAUCCAAAUGACAAUCAUCAGUGACAACAUGAGUGAUUGUCAAAUCAUCAGCAAUCAUCAGCAAAAGAUUGUGGACUGUGGAGUGGCUACAGAAAUCGAAAUCUACAGAAGGUGAGAUGCUUGGUGUGUGACAAGGAACUUGUGUAUGGAAACAGCACAUCAUCCAUGCUAACUCCUCUUUACAUGAGACUGCACAGCCCCAGAACAACCCUACAAGCACACAAACAUCUCGCAAGCAAAUGGUUGAUGAGGCAUUGGUCAACAUGGUCAUAAAAGACUCUCAGCCAUUUUCAGUGGUUGAGGAUGAGGGUUUCAGGGAUUUAUCCAUGCCCUUGAUCCUUCCUAUAUAAUCCCAAACAGACAGGCUUUAAAGAAAAUGGUGGCUUUAAAAUAUGAAGAAGCAAAGAGGAAAGCCAAGGCUGAGAUGGAAAAAGCAACUGCUGUGUCUCUAACAUCAGAUAUGUGGACUUCUAUCAACACAGAUGCAUAUCUUGCAAUAACCUGCCAUUACAUUGAUGACAGUGAUAAGAUGAAUACAGUGUUGUUGGAUGUUGAGAAGUUCCCAGACAGACACACAGCGGAAAAUAUAUUUUUGUCCUCACACUUCUUAGGUGGAAAUCUUUGGCUUCUGUUGGACAGUGCUGUAGACCACAGCAAACAAAGUUCAAAUGCCACUUCUGAUGCGAUCGUACAAGUUGAUAGAUACCUUACAGAGACAAACAUACAAAGAGCUGAAGAUCCACUUGAAUACUGGAGAACGCAGAAACAUGUUUACCCCCUUCUAUAUACAUUGGCAUUACAGUUUCUGUGUACCCCGGCCUCUUCUGUACCAUGUGAAAGAGUGUUCUCUAAGGCCGGGGAAGUACUGUCUAAGAGGAGAAAUAGACUCAGCCCCAACACUGUGAAACAGCUUUUAUUUCUCAAUAAAAAUAAUUAACACAA